AGAGUUUGAUCCUGGCUCAGAUUGAACGCUGGCGGCGUGCCUAACACAUGCAAGUCGAGCGGUAACAGGUGUAGCAAUACAUGCUGACGAGCGGCGAACGGGUGAGUAAUGCUUUGGAAUCUUCCCAGUAGUGGGGAAUAACCAGUCGAAAGAUUGGCUAAUACCGCAUACGUCUGUAAAGGGAAAGCGGGGGCUCGUAAGACCUCGCGCUAUUGGAUGAGCCAAAGUCGGAUUAGCUAGUUGGUGGGGUAAUGGCCUACCAAGGCGACAAUCCGUAGCUGGUCUGAGAGGACGACCAGCCACACCGGAACUGAGACACGGUCCGGACUCCUACGGGAGGCAGCAGUGGGGAAUAUUGGACAAUGGGGGAAACCCUGAUCCAGCGACGCCGCGUGUGUGAAGAAGGCCUGCGGGUUGUAAAGCACUUUUAGUGGG
rnacentral:rRNA from 1 species